rnacentral:sRNA from 1 species
UCCUCUAUUUGUGCGCCAUUUGUUUCGG